UGGGGAAUUUUGGACAAUGGGCGAAAGCCUGAUCCAGCAAUGCCGCGUGUGUGAAGAAGGCCUUCGGGUUGUAAAGCACUUUUGUCCGGAAAGAAAUCCUUGGCUCUAAUACAGUCGGGGGGAUGACGGUACCGGAAGAAUAAGCACCGGCUAACUACGUGCCAGCAGCCGCGGUAAUACGUAGGGUGCAAGCGUUAAUCGGAAUUACUGGGCGUAAAGCGUGCGCAGGCGGUUUGCUAAGACCGAUGUGAAAUCCCCGGGCUCAACCUGGGAACUGCAUUGGUGACUGGCAGGCUAGAGUAUGGCAGAGGGGGGUAGAAUUCCACGUGUGAGCAGUGAAAUGCGUAGAGAUGUGGAGGAAUACCGAUGGCGAAGGCAGCCCCCUGGGCCAAUACUGACGCUCAUGCACGAAAGCGUGGGGAGCAAACAGGAUUAGAUACCCUGGUAGUCCACGCCCUAAACGAUGUC
rnacentral:rRNA from 1 species